rnacentral:rRNA from 1 species
UGCAUGCUUACACAUGCAAGUCGAACGGCAGUACGAGGAGCUUGCUCCUUGGUGGCGAGUGGCGGACGGGUGAGUAACGCGUAGGAAUCUACCUAGUAGUGGGGGACAACCCGGGGAAACUCGGGCUAAUACCGCAUAACCUCUACGGAGUAAAGCGGGGGAUCUUCGGACCUCGCGCUAUUAGAUGAGCCUGCGUCGGAUUAGCUUGUUGGUGAGGUAACGGCUCACCAAGGCGAUGAUCCGUAGCUGGUCUGAGAGGACGAUCAGCCACACUGGGACUGAGACACGGCCCAGACUCCUACGGGAGGCAGCAGUGGGGAAUAUUGGACAAUGGGCGCAAGCCUGAUCCAGCAAUGCAGCGUGUGUGAAGAAGGCCUUCGGGUUGUAAAGCACUUUCAGUAGGGAAGAAUGGCCUAAGGUUAAUAGCCUUAGGAGGUGACGUUACCUACAGAAGAAGCACUGGCUAACUCUGUGCCAGCAGC